AAUCUCACUCCCCUCGGGUUUUGCGACCCGAUCGGACGUGGACUUGGGCGUCUGUCUUUCAUUAGACUCGCCUCAAAUGGAUUAGUGGAAGGAUAGCUAAUGGCUAAGACGUAAUAAGUUUCGUCUGUGCCGGGCUUGAGGUCUGCUCACAACAACCCAUAUUUAUGA
rnacentral:misc_RNA from 1 species